AUUGAACGCUGGCGGCAUGCCUUACACAUGCGAGUCGAACGGUAACAGGUCUUCGGAUGCUGACGAGUGGCGCACGGGUGAGUAAUACAUCGGAACGUGCCCGAUCGUGGGGGAUAACGGAGCGAAAGCUUUGCUAAUACCGCAUACGAUCUACGGAUGAAAGCAGGGGACCGCAAGGCCUUGCGCGGACGGAGCGGCCGAUGGCAGAUUAGGUAGUUGGUGGGAUAAAAGCUUACCAAGCCGACGAUCUGUAGCUGGUCUGAGAGGACGACCAGCCACACUGGGACUGAGACACGGCCCAGACUCCUACGGGAGGCAGCAGUGGGGAAUUUUGGACAAUGGGCGAAAGCCUGAUCCAGCCAUGCCGCGUGCAGGAUGAAGGCCUUCGGGUUGUAAACUGCUUUUGUACGGAACGAAAAGACUCUUUCUAAUAAAGAGGGUCCAUGACGGUACCGUAAGAAUAAGCACCGGCUAACUACGUG
rnacentral:rRNA from 1 species